AAAAUAAGAAGUAAAUCUUACAUUUAGUUUCGACCUAAAAAUUUGGUGUUAUUCACCCUUAUUU
rnacentral:tRNA from 1 species